rnacentral:rRNA from 1 species
ACUACGGGGCGCAGCAGUGGGGAAUAUUGGACAAUGGGCGAAAGCCUGAUCCAGCCAUGCCGCGUGUGUGAAGAAGGCCUUCGGGUUGUAAAGCACUUUCAGUGGGGAAGAAAGCCUUGGGGCUAAUACCCUCGAGGAAGGACAUCACCCACAGAAGAAGCACCGGCUAACUCCGUGCCAGCAGCCGCGGUAAUACGGAGGGUGCGAGCGUUAAUCGGAAUUACUGGGCGUAAAGCGCGCGUAGGCGGUCUGAUAAGCCGGUUGUGAAAGCCCCGGGAUCAACCUGGGAACGGCAUCCGGAACUGUCAGGCUAGAGUGCAGGAGAGGAAGGUAGAAUUCCCGGUGUAGCGGUGAAAUGCGUAGAGAUCGGGAGGAAUACCAGUGGCGAAGGCGGUCUUCUGGACUGACACUGACGCUGAGGUGCGAAAGCGUGGGUAGCAAACAGGAUUAGAUACCCGAGUAGUC